AUUCAUUACCCAGGAGUCCCUGAGGAGAAUGUUAGUCAGUGUCAUAGAGAAAAAGCUACAUUCUGGACAGACACCAGCAGCACUCUACUGAGGAUACUUGGAAGUCUGGUAGGCACUCAGCAGUGCAGACCCAAUACAAAAAAGGGCAAGCAUUGGAUGGUGUGAGCAUGCCAGACGGAAUGAGUGACGAAGGAGGAGCGUUGGCUGUGUAUUUCCUGAAGUAAGAAGACUGAAAGCUAAGAGAGCUUCACUCAACAUGAGCUGAGGGGACCAUUCAUGGAAAUAUGGGUAGGGUGGGGUGAUGUGACUGGGGACCCUAGGGGUAAAGUGGGUGGGACAAAGCUUAGGUAUUUUUAGGUUCGAAAGGAAAAGUAAAUAUUCAAAUAUGUUUAGUAGAGGGCUUUACAUCCAGAGCUGCAGGACAGGAGAGUGAAGGGCCAUGAGAGGGUCACCAAGGCCACCAAGGAGGUGCAAAGAAGAGGGAUACCUGGGACACUGGAUGGGAAGGCAGUAAAAAAACAACAGAAAGAAAGAAAGAAAGAAAGAAAGAGAGAGAGAGAGAGAGAGAGAGAGAGAGGAGGGAAGGGAGGGAGGGAGGAAGGGAGGACAAAAGGAAGAAAGGAGGGAGGGAGGGAGGAAGAGGGAAGGAAGAUGGAAGAAAGGAAGGAAGGAGGAAAGAAAGGAACGAAUGAAGGAACAAAGGAAUAAAGGAAUAAAGGAAGGAGGAAAAAUAAUGUUGGUAAAGUCAAAAGAAGCUCCCAAAAAGAAGGGUGUUAAUAGUUAAUAGUUAACAGUUACUAUUAAGGACAGAACAGCUAUAAUGUGUUCACUGGUUAGUGGGGCCAUUCUUCACUUUGAAUAAAACAACACAGUUAGCACUCAGGCUAAGAAGAAUGGGAUGGAGUGGAAAAACUGCAUGCAGAAAGCCAAUUUCUUAAAAAUGAUCUAACGGUAAAAUCAAAUCUCCAUGCCACUUUGAGUUUGAGAGGACAAAGCAACCGUGCUGUGACCAUCAAAGCUGCCAUCUCCUCAGAAAAGUACCCCAGCGCCUGACUUCCCCGCAUGUGCUGUAUUUUGAGUGUCAUUUUCACGCAAUACAAAAAAGUAGCAGCGGGUACACAGAGCUAUACUUUUAAACAAGGAGACCAUGGAAGCCAUCAGAAAAUAUGGGAGCUGAGUGCAUGAAGAAACACGGGGAAACCUUUGAAGCAAAUGGAGGUAGAAGCAGAAGCCACACCCAAGUAAGAUUACUGUGUGGUGAUGUAAGCUGGCUAGACAGAGUGGCAUGGCGCAUUGGAAAUGAUGCUGAACUCGACUACUAAAGCGAGUUUUGAAUGGGCUCAGGAUGCUACAGCCUCUAUUCCAGUGGUUCUCAACCUUCCUAAUGAUGCUUUCUUACAGUUUCCUCAUGUUGUGGUGACCCAACUUCUACAAUAAAAUUAUUCUCAUUGCUACG
rnacentral:lncRNA from 1 species